AUUUUACUUAAGCUUCGCAGUUAGCAAAAAAAAUGUCAGCAACUUUUAAGUCUGGCCCAAGGGUUUUAAUCCACCAUUGAAUGUUCAGCUCCCCUUUGCCCGUUAAUUUCCUUUGAGAUUGCAACCCAAAACCCUCUCCGCUGCGGUGCCAUCACUCUCUCGAUUACAGGUGCGAUUGUAUUUUCUUAAAUUGAAACAGUUUUUGUACGCUCCCUUUAACUUUUUAGAUGAAAUAUUUGUUGAAAUGUGUAGUGUUUUAUUUAUGAAUGAAAUCUUUAGUUACACUGUUUUCUGUAUGUUCACUGAGAUUUUAUUUUUGCGACACAAAUUGAGAAAUUCGCAGAAAAUAAUAUUAUAAUAGGAUAAAAGAGGAUUCAGAAGUAGUGUAUACUACCAGAAGAUGCCUUCUUUCUUUUAAUGGGGUGGAGACUCAGAGGCUGAUUUAGGGGUCGGUGAGCUAGGGUGGCGGCUCGAGCUGGAUUUGUCGAGGAGAAUUUUUUUUGCUGAUAAUAGAUAAAAUUUUUAGAUUAUAUAUUUGAUAAUUUAUAUUAACAACAAACAUCUUUGUUAGCUUAGUUGGUUAGUCCUUCCAUUAUUGAAUUGGAAGUCCUGUGUUCGAAACUCUUCAAGAGCAAUAUUUUUUAUAAUUUUUGUAUUUCAACAAUUUUUACCAAAACAAAUCAAGGAAGGUGAUUCGAACAUGUUAUCUUCCUUAAACAUAUUGAUCACUUUACCAUCAUUGCACUUAUUGAUUUUUAGCACAUAAUAUAACAAAAUAAUAUAUGUUGAAUUUUAUUGGUUUAAUGUAAGUAGAAACAUUUUAACUGUUGUUUUUGUCCUUUUUCUUUUCUUUUCUUUUUCUUUUUUUUUUCUUUCCUCUCUAAUCAAUUGAUUUGAGAGUUUGGUCAAUUAAUGGUGGAUGAAUUUGUAGGAAAAUUGACCUUAGUGUCACAAGAAAUUUUUCAACAAAACUUAUUUAAUUAACAAAAGGUUCCACUUUUCGUUCACAAAAAAUCGAUUGUAAGAAAGUAGAAUCAUAUAAGCACAUAAAAUUGAUUUAAUAUAAUAAGACUUAUUUAAUUAACUUUAAUUGUAAACUGAAUAUUGGCAUUUUGUUAAUAUAUAUUGCCUAUUAAAUUGAAAAAUAAAUUAGGGUAUUUUGUAGAUUAUUGAAGGAUUUUUUAAUCUAAAAUGAAAGUUCGUACCUAAGUUCUAGUUCUAGUGGUGAUCUAGUUCUUCUAGUUCUAAUUCGUACGAUUUUUUGAAUAUUAUUUAAUUAAAUAUUAAUAAACAACCUCGCUAUCACAGAUUCGCCACUGGGUGGGGUUGAAUGUAAAAUGCAUCCAUUAAUACGUACAUUAUAUAAAGAUUGACUACUUUUGUGAUGAUGAGGAUGGAAGGAAAAUCCUAAAAAUGACCCUCAACUCCGUAGGCUACUGUAAAUAGAAUUAGUUUAGCAAUUAGUCAGUUUGUUAAGUUUAACUUUCCCUUAUAUUUUGCUUUUCUAAAUUUCGAACAAUAGAUUUUUCCAAGCAUUACAUUGUAGAUAUAGACGGUAUUUUGAUUUUCUUUUUGUUUCUUAACCUAUGCUCGGACUGGACAUAGAUAUUCGAACAGACUCUUUCAUCUAAAUCAAUUCUCUGAAUGAACCAAUCCAUUCGAUCACCUCUCUCGUGGUAGACUAAAUUUCAAGAAAACACGAGAAACGGGUUUACUAAAAUGAAGAAACAUACCAUCUACAUAAGUAGUCUCUAGACUCUCUACCUAUAAAAGUGGCGCCUAACUCAUAUACAAGAGAGAAAUUUUUUUAGAACACUCUAUAAACUAUUCUCCUAGCACACUUUCUAUCAUCAGGAUUCACAACUAAUUUAACCACCGAAUUAUAACAGCAUCAUCAAGCAUACUAUGCGACAAGCAGUACACAUUUUUAUGUUAGAUUUGCAUCUAUGACUACAUACUAAACUUUAAUCCCAAUAAAUUUGGGAUUGACUACAUGAAUAUUUAAGAUUUGGGAUUUCUUCUUAAAAGAUCAAUCUUAUUAAGAGUAGUAUUCCAAAACCUUAUAAGCU
rnacentral:lncRNA from 1 species